rnacentral:rRNA from 1 species
GUGAAACCGCGAAUGGCUCAUUAAAUCACACCUAAUCUACUGGAUAGUUAACAGUUACUUGGAUAACUGCGGUAAUUCUGGAGCUAAUACAUGCACAAAGCCCCGAACUUAUGUGAGGGGCGCUUUUAUUAGAUCAAAACCAAACGGCUUCGGCCGUUCUCUUGGUGACUCUGGAUAACUUUGGGCUGAUUGCAUAGCCUAGCGCUGGCAACAUAUCCUUCGAAGGUGUGCCCUAUCAACUGUCGACUGUGGCAUAGACGCCCACAGUGGUUUUGACGGGUAACGGGGAAUCAGGGUUCGAUUCCGGAGAGGGAGCCUUAAAAACGGCUACCACAUCUAAGGAAGGCAGCAGGCACGCAAAUUACCCAAUGACCGAAGGUCGAGGUAGUGACGAAAAAUAACGAUACGGGACUCAUCUGAGGCCCCGUAAUCGGAAUGAGUACACUUUAAAACCGUCCCCGAGGAUCUAUUGGAGGGCAAGUCUGGUGCCAGCAGCCGCGGUAAUUCCAGCUCCAAUAGCGUAUAUUAAAGUUGUUGUGGUUAAAAAGCUCGUAGUUGGAUCUCGGCGGUCUGAGGGCGGUUCACUUGCUAGUGCUACUGCCCUAUAGGCCGUAGUUUUGCCAGAGGUCGCAGGGUGCUCUUAAUCGGGUGUCUUGUGAUGCUGGCAGGUUUACUUUGAAAAAAUUAGAGUGCUCAAAGCAGGCUUUUAGGCCUGAAUAUUUGUGCAUGGAAUAAUAGAAUAGGAAGUCGUUUCUAUUUUGUUGGUUUCCGGAAAUCGACUUAAUGAUUAAUAGGGACAGUCGGGGGCAUUUGUAUUCAAACGACAGAGGUGAAAUUCUUGGACCGUUUGAAGACAAACUACUGCGAAAGCAUUUGCCAAGAAUGUUUUCAUUAAUCAAGAACGAAAG